AGAUUUGCGAACCUUUUUGUUCUCAGCUCAGCGCUAGACGCGCUAGCGCGCAGCAGUUUUUUUAGAAGGACGCCGUGCAAAAGGGUAGCGCCGUGCAUUUUUGAAUCCCAUGCCCAGUAGAUCUACCAAGAGCACAGUCAAUAAAAUGCUCUGUAGAGUGUAGUAUUAGUAAUCACUUCUUAUCUCGCUCUCCGUUGUAUUUUACGAGGAAAUAAUUCUCUCAAGGUCCAAGCUUGCAGAAUACAGAGAUGCCUUCUUGCUGUUCUUGCUCGUGUCUUCUUGUUCCAGAAAGGCUUUUUCAGUUCAUAGACUGCUUUAGCGGAGAGGGCUCCAAACUUGCCGUUAGUACCGUUGGCGUUGCUGCAAGGCGUGGAAGAUAUCUUCAAAUACAGCAGUAAAACCCGUUCGUAUCGGUAAAGAAUUGUUGGUCGUCGCCACCGAGCGCGUGUUGAAACCACCCCCUUUGUUUCCCUUCUGACUCCCGUGCAAGUCCUGGAGCAGCCAGGCUAUUUCAAUUGACUCUCCUCGCCUUGACUGCCAGACCUGGAAGUAGUUCAGCGCCGUGUUGCCUUUCAGUCGUUAUUACCAAGCCUGUCUCGCUAUCAUCGGCUUCGCAAAGGAUGGUCUGGGUCUGAAAGAUAUUAUUAAAUUAUCAUCUGUGCAGGAAGGCAAGCAUUAUUUUUUGCAAGGAGUCUGGGCAAGAAGGGAUACAUUGGUACUAUUACAAAGACUCUGGACAUGUGCUGGUCUCAUAAUAUCAUAUCACCGCGUCAGCUACAGCCUGGAAUAUUAGCUGACUGGUGAAAGACUGCGGCGCAAGGAAUUAAACUCUACAAUGUUCUAAUGCCGAGCAGGUGCUGUAUUGACAAAGCUAACACUGCAGAAGCAGACCUGUAUUCUCUGGUGUAAAGCUAUCAAGGUGCAGACACACUGAAGGGAUGUUGCGCAAUGGUGAAGCUGAGUGGCAAUUACGACGUAACAAGAUUCUCUGCCAAGCUGCUUGCUUUCAGAUCAUGCGUAUCAAGUUGUGUGCAAGACCACAGUAGAAUGACACCUCCUUGUUUGGUCCCAGAAGCCAUCAAUAGGUGUCAUGAGUGUCCCUUCGUUUCCUGUUACUUCUUACGUAGCGUCCAGUUGGGCCCAUCGAAUCUCCGAAGAACAAGACGCUUUGAUCAGUCUGCGGACUGGUACUGCUCCCUCUAUUGGACUGCUGUGUGUGGAGGUGUGAGCUGAUUGUUGUAGCUGAAGACAAGUGUGCCUUAUGUAGAAACUGUUUCUGCAGCUCUAUAGAACAAGAUGCUUUGAUCAGUCUGCAGACUGGUGCUGCUCCCUGGAUUGGACUGCUGUGUGUGGAGGUGUCACCUGAUUGUUCUAGCUGAAGAGAGCUGUGCCUUAUGUAGAAACUGCUGACGUCAUUGGCAAUGUGUUCCGAGGCAUCACAGCUACUGCUGUUCCGAGGCAUCACAGCUGCUGCUGUUCCGAGGCAUCACAGCUGCUUCUGUGGACGCCGCGCACUGCUAUUGCUGCUGCUGCUGCUGCCGUUUUUGUUGUACGAGAUGCUGAACAUCCAGGAUGGCUCUUGUCACGCUCUUGGGUAGCUUACAUCAUCUGAGAAGCAGCAUUCCAGGAAUCCUGAGAAGAGUGAUGGCACAUCUGGGGUGAUCUCCAGAAAGCAGCUGAGGAAUUCUGUAUACUAUGCAGUGCAUAUAGAAUGCCCAUCCCCGUCACCUGACACACGGUGGGCUGCCUUCCAACUAGGUAGCCUCAGUGUUGAGAAUUAGAAGAAAGCAGCAAACACUGAUUCGAUGCGGGCUGUUGGUAUUUCGCUUGAGCAGCCAAGCGAUAUCGUGGGUGAUAGGGAGUGGUGGCUUACAAGCCAGGCCAUGGUUAUACCCACAGCAUUGCAGUGGAUUCCUGAUUUCAACCAGCAGUGAGACUUCCAACGGAUGUAGUGUGUCAGUGUAGCUAUCGCUGGCCACAAACCAUACUUGACACCCAUGUUCACAUAGACAAUGGUGCAUUGUAUCUAUGACUUCCAGUCUCCACACUCACACUAUAAUUAUACUCUGCUGUAUUGUAAUGUUCUAACACUGGUAGUAGACAUGCGGUUCGCUCUUAUUGAGCAAUGCACUAUGCUUUUGCACUUUACACCACUUUCUUUAUUUCAAGUUCUCUCUCUCUCUCUCUCUCUCUCUCUCUCUCUCUCGGCUAACUUUACAUACUUGUCCACUUUGAUAACUUAUCUCCUUCCUGCAUUAAUUUUCUUAUUUUAAUACGAAAUAGUGGUGCUUAUUUUAAAGUUUAAUUUGGUCAAUGAUCUCGUAGCUCCUAGAUCUUUCCUUUUCUACUUACAUGCCACAUACUAUUCCUGGCAGCACGGGUACUUACUAUUCCUGGAAUAUUGUUUUGCAAAUUUUCUGCUUCUAUUUCAGCCUGAUCAGUACCGAUCUAUUCUUUUACAAAUAUCCUCUUUGUUCUACUACAUUUCUGCUGCAUCUUAUUUUUUCUAUGCCUAAAAUGUUUUUAAUUUUUAAUUUCAGUCACCAUUUUUAGACAAUUCUGACAUAAUAAUUAUAUUCUGACAUUAUUAAGAGAUGUAAGACCUAAAGUUGCUAUGGAAACCUGCCGAGUUAAGCCUA